rnacentral:tRNA from 1 species
UGUAGCUCAGUGGUAGAGCAUUUGCUUAGCAAGCACAAGACCCCGGGUUCACUUCCCAACA